rnacentral:rRNA from 1 species
GACGAACGCUGGCGGCGUGCUUAACACAUGCAAGUCGAACGAAGAGCGAUGGAAGCUUGCUUCUAUCAAUCUUAGUGGCGAACGGGUGAGUAACGCGUAAUCAACCUGCCCUUCAGAGGGGGACAACAGUUGGAAACGACUGCUAAUACCGCAUACGAUCUAAUCUCGGCAUCGAGGAUGGAUGAAAGGUGGCCUCUAUGUAUAAGCUAUCACUGAAGGAGGGGAUUGCGUCUGAUUAGCUAGUUGGAGGGGUAACGGCCCACCAAGGCGAUGAUCAGUAGCCGGUCUGAGAGGAUGAACGGCCACAUUGGGACUGAGACACGGCCCAGACUCCUACGGGAGGCAGCAGUGGGGAAUCUUCCGCAAUGGACGAAAGUCUGACGGAGCAACGCCGCGUGAGCGAUGACGGCCUUCGGGUUGUAAAGCUCUGUUAAUCGGGACGAAAGGCCUUCUUGCGAAUAGUGAGAAGGAUUGACGGUACCGGAAUAGAAAGCCACGGCUAACUACGUGCCAGCAGCCGCGGUAAUACGUAGGUGGCAAGCGUUGUCCGGAAUUAUUGGGCGUAAAGCGCGCGCAGGCGGAUAGGUCAGUCUGUCUUACAAGUUCGGGGCUUAACCCCGUGAUGGGAUGGAAACUGCCAAUCU